rnacentral:rRNA from 1 species
CCUACGGGAGGCAGCAGUGAGGAAUUUUCCACAAUGGGCGAAAGCCUGAUGGAGCAAUACCGCGUGGAGGAAGAAGGACCGUGGUUCGUAAACUCCUUUUCUCAGAGAAGAAGAUCUGACGGUAUCUGAGGAAUAAGCUCCGGCUAACUCUGUGCCAGCAGCCGCGGUAAUACAGAGGGAGCAAGCGUUAUCCGGAAUGAUUGGGCGUAAAGCGUCUGUAGGUGGUUUAGAAAGUCUACUGUCAAAUCCCAAGGCUCAACCUUGGCCAGGCAGUGGAGUACUUCUAGACUUGAGUGUGGUAGAGGUAGAGGGAAUCCCUAGCGUAACAGUGAAAUGUGUAGAUUUUAGGGAGAACACCAGAGGCGAAGGCGCUCUACUGGGCCACGACUGACACUGAGAGACGAAAGCUACGGGAGCGAAUAGGAUUAGAUACCCGUAGUAGUCGUAGNUGUAACGUAUAGAACGUAAGUAGCUCGACCGAAACGACAGUAGCUGUAGUACGUAACGUACGUUAACGUUUACCCGUCCCGUCGGGGUAGGUAGUGCGUCGCGAAGAGUAGAACGUACGAAAGGAAGUUAGACGGCGUGAGACGUGCCGACGGACGACGACGAGGGAGGUUAGG